CUCAGUACCGUAGACAACCUUCUCAUAGGUUGUUUAUUCUUCUUAAAAAUAUCCAAUUUUGUUUCUAUUUAAAGUCACUAUGAAUAAUAAUGUUGUACUACUUAUUUUAUUCGGAAUAUUGUGUACUGAUACACUCGCCGACGUUUUCAUAUCUGAGAUAAAAUCCCACGACUUAGAUGAUUAUGACGUGACAACAAUUUAUGAGCUACAAGAUCCCCUCGACGGUUCCGUCGAAUGUUCUAGACCAGAUAAAUUGUUAGAUGAUGGCACAUUACCAUCGGAUUGUUUCUAUGACGUAUCAGUAAGUUCAAGGUCGAAUGCCAUUGGAAUGCCCAUAUAUUUCAAUGGAAAAGUUUUGACUUCCCGAAAUUAUGAUCUUGAAUUCAUAAUAGACUAUGAGUAUUCCAAUAAUAUUUUUACAAACAAUCACGUGGAACAUAAUGAGACAUUUGUAGUACUGAGGGGAUAUGUUUCCCUUAUGAAUACUAAUAAAAGGAUAUAUCCUGCUGGAGGUUUGAUCACUGGUAAAUACUUAAACGUAUUUGCUUCUUUAAACAUCAGUUGGACACCAUAUAAAACAUCUAAAGGAUGUAUAUCACUAACAUAUAAUUGGGAAGACCAAGCAGACAAUGAGGCAAAUGUAAAAAUUUACCAAAAAGACAAUAACAUUCCAAUGAUAUCAUAUAAAAUCAGUAAACCGGAUGGAUUGAACACAUUAAAACUACGGACUAAUGAUCUUUUUGUUAAAAAUACAACUUAUUUUUUAGUAAUUACCAGUCCAGAUACAAAGAAUGGUAGCUAUAGAAUAUUUGGAAUUAAAAGAAUAGCUCAAUGCGAUGAAGACAGUGACUCAUAUGUAAUACCUGGGAUACGUAUCAAGAAAGAUGACAUUGCAGCCAGCAUUUAUCAAAUUGAUGGAAAGAAACGAGUAGAUUCAACGCGUUUGCAAAAAGAGUGCGACCCGAAUAGGUUUGGAGCAGAUUGUUCUGGGACAUGUUCAAUUUAUAACACAUUUUGUGAGCGACAGUUAUUUUGUACUACACGUUAUGGAUGUUCAUGCGCAUCUGGAUAUUUUGGAGACUUUUGUGACCAAAAGUGUCUAUUAGGAACGUUCGGUCGUGAUUGUAAACAAAGGUGUAACGAGAAUUGCAUUUCAUGCGAUAUCUACACGGGCACAUGUACCGGUGGAUGCAAAAGAAAUUAUAUUUCACCGAACUGCACCGAAACAUAUCCACGGUUGAUCAAUCCCCCACAGUUAGUAUCAUCUGAUUUUACUUCUAUUAAACUCAAUUUAAGUUUUGCGAGUGAGAAUAUCGGCGGAAGCCAACAGCAAACUCCUUUAUACUAUCAAUUAGUCUACAAGCAAUCGACAAGCGAGUUAGAUUUUCAAUACUUGGAUAUUAAAGAAAAAGGAAGUUCUGUGUAUACAUUAGAAACAAUAGAUAAUUUAUUUUCGGAAACAGAGUACAUAUUUGGCGUAAUAUUAUUUACCGAAGAAGGAAAGCGCAACGACGAGAUUGUAUCUACGGCAUAUUAUAGAACUUCGUGUAUUGUCCCAGAGAACAUCGACUACGGAGUACAACUUUUGAGAGGUGCCAAUUAUAUCAACGUCACUUGGGAAAAAUACCACAGUGGCAACUCGCUUGAAUGCAGAAUCAACAAGUACACGUUGAAAUUAAUUUUCGACGAGAAAAAAGACUUGUACGAAGAAGCAAAUAGUACGUCCACUAAAUAUGUUUUUGAAAACUUAAUACCGGGCCACGUUUAUACUGUCCAAUUAACAGCGGUGACAGAUUUAGGUCACGUCGAACCGUCAGAAAUCUUCAACGCAACUACAAAUUAUGAACAUGGAGAUAUCGCUAUCAAAAAUAUAAAAGCCAAAAGCCACGAUACAAACACAGGUGUACAUUUAACGUGGGAGUUGAGAGAUUCGCACAUAGAUGCACCUAUAAGUUACAAGAUUCUGUACAAGAUCAAUCGAGUGUUUAGUUGUUCUUUUGGCCUCGUUAAUAGUACUGAUUGGACCGAAAUCCUCGUUUACAAUAAGACGGAAUACGACUUACGGAACUUGAUUCCAAAUUCUCAAUAUAUGAUACAAGUGCAAACGACCGCCGAUGUUUACACGCCAGGCAAUAUCGAUCAUAUGAUCUUUGUAAAAACCGCACCCUCGACACCGACGUUCGCGCCUGUUAUCGACCCGAGCCACCCGUUGUACUUUGAUAACGAAACAGCACUGAUAAAGUGGAUGGUCGAUAAACAAUAUUGUAUGAAACUCAAUGGACCUCCGAAGGGUUUCCAUUUAAUACUGAAGAAUUUAAAGAAUGGAACACAAAACGUUCAAGAAACGGAUGAAACCUCAAUAAAAUAUACUGGGCUAACGCCCAACACCGAUUACGAGUUACAAAUUUACAUAAAAACAACAAUAGGAUUUAACACUGUUUACAUGCUGUCGAUUCCAUUUAAAACAAAAACGGAGUUUUUAGCACCAGUAGAAGACUUGACUGUUUACAAAAAAAAUUCCAAGUUUAAAGCCGCUAGUCUUAGAUGGAAAUAUUCAAAUGAUUCCCAGGCUAAUGGUUUUAUAAUUCAUGUUUACAACGAAAAACAAAAAACGAUGGUAAAUCAAAUCACAAUGGAACCGUCGCCGUGUAAAGCAUGGCCAGACUACUAUUGUUCAACCGUUGUUGAUCUAACACCCAGUACUGAAUACACAAUUAAAAUGAAAGCCAAAUCAGUUGAUUAUCCAAACGGAGGAAUAUCGUCAUCUGUCAGUUUUAACACUAUCGAUGGUGCCCCAGACGAACCUGGAAAUCUUAGGAGUUCGUUUAUUGGCGACACUGACAUAACGCUGGAAUGGGAUAUACCGUGGAUGUUAAACGGUGUAUUAAAGGUCUUUAUCAUAAACACCGAGGAAAUAUCGGCCGUGGACUUAAAUUCGUGUUGCAACAGCUUGCCAACGGCGGAGUUGCAAGUCACCGAAGAAAUGCCAACUUAUAAUUAUACGAUAAACAAUCUGAAACCCGGUUCAACUUAUUCAAUUGAAGUGUUGUCGAAGACGACGUGGCACGGUCAAGCGAAGAAAAUACAAGUGACAACUUUGUCAGAUUCUCCGUCUCAAGUAUCAGAAACAUCAUAAAAAACAUUUGGAUUAUUUUAUUUUUAUUUAGACAAAAUUAAUAUACAUAUGAAAAGUUCAACAUUUUAGUUUCAAUUCCAUAUUCAGAGACCUCGUAGAGCUACUAAAAAUGAGGUUUUGAAAUCUUGUAUGAAUGCCUGUAAACCUGUGACCUCCUCGUCCAAUCAAUUCUAUGUUCCAACACCGCUGUACUGGCUUUUUUAUUGUUAAAAUAUUUUUAAAAAGUAAAUGAUUCUCUACAAGUAGAAGCAAAAAAAAUAACUUCACAGAAACCUAAUAAAAAUAUUA